CUGCUUUUGCAGUAAUACUAAAGUCUAGAAACUCAUUUAAAACAAGGCCUAGAUAAGCAUAUUCGCUGCUAGUAGCAAUAUUCAUAUCCCACACUUAAAGACGUGACUUGAUCGUUCAAAUGAGGUCGGUCUGAAAUGGACAACAUUACUCUUACAUGAAUUAAUAGUCAUUUUAUUGUCAGUACACCAAUGAUAUAACUCAUCUAAGAGGUUUUGUAACUCAUUCUCAGUAUUUGCUAACAGUACGAUAUCAUCAGCAUACAAUAAAAUACAUACUUUUUCUCCCCCAAUGUCAACACCAAAAUCAAAUGAUUUUAAGUAUACAGCUAAUUCAUUUAUAAAAAUUAAAUAAUAAAGGAGAAAGUGGACAACCUUGUUUUAAACCACAGUUCACAGUAAACCAAUCUGUAUUGAAGCUAUUGACUCUGAUCGAGCACCUGACCCCAUUAUAAAGGGACUUAAUAGCCAUACACAUUUUUACAUCAACCCCCAGAGAUGUGAGUUUUUCCCAUAACAAUGUCCUAUUAAUCGUAUCAUACGCCUUCUUAAAAUCGAUAAAUGCACAAAAGGUGGAUUUUCGUAGUUUUUUACGAACAUCGACUAAACUAGUAAGUGAAGAUAUUUGAUCUAUGGUACUCCUUCCCUUCCGGAACCCAUUUUGAUCAUCAACUAAGGACUUAUUAUCUUCAACCCAUUGAGACAGCCUCAAGUUUAAUAUGUUACAAUAUAAUUUAUAUGAAGCUGGGGCUAAAGCAAUACCCCUAUAAUUUAAGGGGUCUCUUUUUAUCUGACAUGUUAUUUUUGGGUAUCGGAUUAAUAAUUAUAUUAUUCCACAUCUCUGGGACUUUACCAGUUUUAAAACACCAAUUAAACAAUCUAUGUAAAAAUAUAAUACAAUUCUGGUUACAUAAAACAUCAGCUGGAAUAUUAUCUACACCAGAGGCUUUGCCUCUUUUGCUUUUACAUACGACAUUAAAAACCUCUUCAAAAGAAAUUUCUUCUGUUAAAAGAAAGUCGCUUUCUGUCAAAACGGCAGGGCUAUGAUCGACUGGAAUGUUCCUAUCCGUAGUAACCUGGUUACCUGUUUGAUUAAGUAGAUCGGCAUAGUCCGAUUUCCACUUUAACAAAACAUCAUCAACAUUUGAAGAUACAUUACCAUUUGCGUCUACAACUUCCAUUGGUAUUAAAGUUUUGCGUUCCGAAGCAAUUCCUAUCUUACCUAUCUUCUUCCAAAACGUUUUGUUGAUCAGUUUUUUGAUUCCAACAAUAAUUCUUGCUGCAAUGUGUACCAGUACUUACGUUUUGCUUUUUGAACCUCACGAUCGAAAACCCUUCGUUUUGACACAAAACUGGACUUUAACUCAACACAAGACACACGAGACAAUUUGCCCUUUUUCCAUAACUUUUCUGCACAACACAUAUCAUUAAAAAAUACACUUAAAUUAUCAUUCCACCAAGGUUUUUUAAUUCUCUUUCUCUUAUUACAAUACGUACUAUCAGACAUGACAAUUACUUUUGAAUGCAAUUUCUGAUUCAUUUCUUCGCUGACAAUAGCACAAAAAUCAGUAUAAACUUGAUCAAUAUUACAUUGGGAUACUUCAUUUGUUUCAAGACCAUUGAUAGUAUCUAAAAGUCGUAAAUGUAUAUCAUCGCCGUGACAAAAAUUUGAAGGUAUGUUUUUUACAUCAAACUUAAUAAAUUCAGGACUACGCUUUCCUGAGGUAUGACACGACGGUAAUGAGGCACUGAUGUUUAACUCACAAUACAACAAAGAAUGGUCGGGUAUCGAUCUCGCAUCCAACCCAGUCAUAUUAAGCUUAGAUUUUAUAAUUAAGUCCGAAGCUCUAAUAACUUUGAAGUCUUGAAAAAAAAUGAAGAUUUUCAUAGCUAGUAAUACAAUAAUCAACAACCGAUUGACCCUUUGAUGAAACACAUGUGAAGUCAUUGUUUGUACCAACUCUACCGUUCAACAUACAACAAUUGCUACUUGUUAAAAAAUCAAUAAAUGUAGUACAGUAACUAUUACGUGUAAAAUCUAUAACACUUCUCAUAUUUAUACAAUCGACUCCAGGAAUGUAAUCAUACUCAUCGCCACAUCUACUAUUAAAGUCUCCACAAAUAUAAAAUAAACCAUCAUUUUGGAAUUCAUAAACUUGUGAAAUUAAUGUGUCAAAAAAUAGUUCCUUGUCUACUUGCCUAGUAGAGUGAUCAGGUGGAAGAUAGCAAACACAUAUAUUAAAUCUAAAAUUUGACAGCCUGUGAUGCAGGUACAACCAUAAAAUACCUUCAAAAGAUUGGUCUAAAAUACCAAUAUCAAAAAUUUCAGUUAAAUAAUCUUUAAUUAAAAAACCAACUCCACCUGACCCAC
rnacentral:lncRNA from 1 species